AUCAGCUGGCCAAAGUAUUGGAGUUUCCAAUGAACACCCAGGACUGAUCUCCUUCAGGAUGGACUGGUUGGAUCGCCUUGCAGUCCAAGGGACUCUCAAGAGUCUUCUCCAACACCACAGUUCAAAAGCCCAGUUAACCUCUAUUGAAUUCAGAUUUGAAAUAGCUCAACUGGAAUUCCAUCACCUCCACUAGCUUUGUUCAUAGUGAUGCUUCCUAAGGCCCACUUGACUUCACAUUCCAGGAUGUCUGGCUCCAGGGCGAUGUUCUGUUGCUGGCACAUAUUGUGGUAUGACCACAUGUCUAAGAAUCAUGAAACCCUGCGUAAGAGAUCAGUCCCUGAAUGAACCUUUACCCGAAUCAACAGGCUCAUUCCUGCGGCAGCACCACGAUGCCACCAAGUGGACUGUUUUCAAACAACUCAACUCAUCGUGAGCUGGCAAGUCAGUUUGGAGUUGGAGCACGGAUGCCCGCCCAUUUAGGAAACAGCAGCUUUUAUUCUCUGCAUUCGUAUGCCUUGAAUGUUUGAUGAAUUUUGAUAAAUGCUUCACUUAAACUA